ACCAGACUCCUACGGGAGGCAGCAGUGGGGGAUAUUGCACAAUGGGGGGAACCCUGAUGCAGCGACGCCGCGUGGGUGAAGGAGUGCUUCGGCAUGUAAAGCCCUAUCGGCAGGGAAGAAGCAAGACGGUACCUGACUAAGAAGCCCCGGCUAACUACGUGCCAGCAGCCGCGGUAAUACGUAGGGGGCAAGCGUUAUCCGGAUUUACUGGGUGUAAAGGGGGCGUAGACGGCGAUGCAAGCCAGAUGUGAAAGCCCGGGGCUCAACCCCGGGACUGCAUUUGGAACUGUGUGGCUGGAGUGUCGGAGAGGCAGGCGGAAUUCCUAGUGUAGCGGUGAAAUGCGUAGAUAUUAGGAGGAACACCAGUGGCGAAGGCGGCCUGCUGGACGAUGACUGACGUUGAGGCUCGAAAGCGUGGGGAGCAAACAGGAUUAGAUACCCCUGUAA
rnacentral:rRNA from 1 species